rnacentral:misc_RNA from 1 species
CUGGGAGAGCGCGUGCUUUGCAAGCAUGAGGUCGUCGGUUCGAUCCCGUCUGGCUCCACCAGAUGGUUUGAUCACCGAGAUCUUGACCGUCGUCCGCGAAACAUCACUUCGCAUCCUGCUAGUCUGGAUAGACAGCAGUUUGCGUGUUUUCUGACAUCGUAAAGAGGAGAUCGAUCCGAGUUGGGUCGUGCAGCAUAUCGUUGCGCGAGCCUUCAUUAUCUCCGGAUCAUUUCGGCGCUCGCUUCCAGCCGUGAGGUUGGAUGCGGGUUGUAAAUGAUCCUUUUAGCGAAGCUUGACCGCCUCGCUAUCGGAACGAUCUUACGAAGCAAGCUGGUCUUUCUAGUCAAUGUCCGGCUGCGGAUAGCGUUCAUCGAGGGCGCGUGCCGCAAGGCAAUUCUGCAGACAACAUUCUGCCGAGUGUGUGGACAUUGAUAAUGAGAGCAAUCAAGUGCCUUAAGGGUGUUCGGUGGAUGCCUUGGCGCUGAGAGGCGAUGAAGGACGUGCUACGCUGCGAUAAGCCGUGGGGAGCUGCGAAGAAGCUUUGAUCCGCGGAUUUCCGAAUGGGAAAAA